rnacentral:rRNA from 1 species
UACGUAGGGUGCGAGCGUUAAUCGGAAUUACUGGGCGUAAAGCGUGCGCAGGCGGUUGUGCAAGACAGAUGUGAAAUCCCCGGGCUCAACCUGGGAACUGCAUUGUGACUGCAUCGCUGGAGUGCGGCAGAGGGGAUGGAAUUCCGCGUGUAGCAGUGAAAUGCGUAGAUAUGCGGAGGAACCCCAGAGGCGAAGGCGGCGCCCUGGCUCGCAACUGACGCUCAGACACGACAGCAUGGGGAGCGAACGGG